ACAGAGUGAGACCCUGUCUCAAAACAACAACAACAACAACAACAACAAAACAAAACUUUUUGUUAUGGAAAAUGUCAAAUGUGUAAAAGUAAAGAGAAUCGUAAAAUGAACACCCUUUGAUAAUUAUCGAUACAGCAUCAAUCUGGUUUCAUCUAAAUCCCUUCCACUCUCUCCCCGCUGGAUUAUUUUAAAGCAAACCUCAGAAAUCAUUUUAUACAUACAUAAAUACUUUUGACAUUUUUAAAGGAAGGAUUUGAAGUACUAAACAUAGAACUUUAGUUCACCUGAGGUUAACUAACUGAAACCCUCAAUUAACUAUCCUCCAAUUUUAAGAGAACAGGACAAAUUGGAAGAAAUUAUCUGCCAUCUCGGAGCUUAAAAAAAUUCAACGUAAUAGGUUCUAGUCUUAAAACAAAUCCAGCAUAAUUUUCUGAACUUCUACACUUUGAAAAACUCAAAUGAGGAACUGAUAUUCAUUACACUGAACUCAAGGUAUUGCAAGAGCUAAAUUAUCACAGAAACAGCCAAGAUGAAGUGUUUCACCAGAACCUUCCUAUGUUGCAACCCUGCUUAUUAAAUUUAAAUUUUAGUGUGGGAAGUAUACUUUUCUAUGGUAACUUUUUUUUUUUUUUUGAGACAGAGUUUCACUAUUGUCACCCAGGCUGGAGUGCAGUGGUGCGAUCUCGGCUCACUGCAAGCUCCACCUCCAGGGUUAAAGUGAUUCUUCUGCCUCGGCCUCCCAAGUAGCUGGGAUUACAGGCGCUCACCCCCAUGCCCAGCUAAUUUUUGUAUUUUCAGUAGAGACAGGGUUUCACCAUGUUGGUCUCAAACUCCUGACCUCAGGUGAUCCACCCACCUUGGCCUCCCAAAGUUCUGGGAUUACAGGCGUGAGCCACCAUGCCCGGCCUAUGGUAACAUUUUUCAAAAGGACAUUUUUGCUGAAUCUCAUUUUUCCAGAAAAUAACGUUUCAUUAUAUUUGGAUGUAAAAUGACACAGCUAGAAUCCCAAAGUGUUUUUUAAUUUCAUUUAAUUUCAUUUAAUAAUGAAGUAGUGUUACGUGAGGAUUGUUGAGAAUCUUGAAAAUUACUGCUAUUUACUUCUUGUAAUCUAAUACACAUUUUUUGAACUCUUUCUGUUUCCAACAUGUCUUUUGGGACUCGAAACUUCUGAAGUUCUUUUCUGAUAUGUCUCAUGAUGACCACUGCAACUGCCUUUGUCCAAGCCAAUAUCAUCUCUCACCUGCCUUUCAUGAUAGCCUUCUGAUUGGUCUCUCUGCAUCAGCCCUUUCCUGCCUCUGCCUGAAAGAGUUAAAGCAGUCCUUUUAAAACAUGUCAGGUCACCUCACUUCUUGGCUCAGAACCCUCCAGUUGGCUUCCCAUCUCACUAAGACAUGGCGUGCAAUAUUCUCAGUAGAAGUGGUAUUGCUAAGGUAUGUUUUGGAAAUUUGUGGGAGUAUUUUUGGUUGUACCAUAAUUAAGUGGUAGCAUUGAGUAUGUGGGGGUCUGGGCUGCUAGACCAUUAUACAUACUCCCUCACUAUAAAGAAUUGUCCCUCAUCCUCCCGUAUGAGUUUUUUAAAAAAUCCAUUUUUGGCCAGGCGUGGUGGCUCACACUGUAAUCCCAGCACUUUGGGAGGCCAAGGCGGGCAGAUCACCUGAGGUCAAGAGUUCGAGACAAGCCUGGCCAACGUGGUGAACCCUCGUCUCUACUAAAAAUACAAAAAAAAAUUAAAUGGGCGUGGUGGUGCGUGCCUGUAGUCCCAGCUACUCGGGGAGGCUGAGGCAGGAGAGAAUCGCUUGAACCCAGGAGGUGGAGGUUGCAGUGAGCCGAGAUCAUGCCAUUGCAUUCCAGCCUGGACAACAAGAGCAAAACUCUGUCUCAAAAAAUAAUGAUAAUAAUAAUAAUCCAUUUUUGAGGUAUGGUUUAUCAAAAGUAAAAUGUACCCAUUUUAAGUGUACAAUUUGAUGUUUGACACAUUUAUAUAUCUGUGUAACCACCACAAUAAUCAAGGCAUAAAACAUUCCCAUCACCACAAAAAGUUCUCUCAUGUGCCUUCUGCAUGACCUUUGAAUAGCCCGUUGGAUAUUCUUGAAGGUGAAAAACCUGUUUAUAAAUAUCUGAGCCUAGAAACUAAUUACAUAUAUAUAAACACAAAAUAUUUUUAGCAUAGUUUUAAUGUACACUUGAUUUUCCAGAAAUGUAACUGUGAUGUAAGUUGAGAACAAAAUGGUAUUUUGUUCAGAAUUUUGUCAGAGGUUUGCUAUUCUGGAAAAACAUGUCAGAGACAGCAUCAGCUUCACUAUUCAUGGCAUUUGAGACAAGAAGUCAACAUUCCUCUAUCAGUCUGCAUUUGUAGCUACCACAUUUAUGUGAUUCUACAUAAAGGUGUAAACACCUAUUUCAUUAUAUCUUUUAUGGUGUUCAUGUCUGCACAUUUACAUAUUAAAAUAUAUAUUAUUAUAAAUUGCUUUCAUGCAUUUCUCAUUUAUAUUACAGGUUUAGCAUUAUAUUAGUUAUUUUGAAGUUAGUUUUGUAUAUAGUUAUAAUAUCCAUAAAUUUAAUUUCAGCAUAUGAAGGGAAAAGUAUAAAAUAUUUAUUAUAUAAAAGGGGCACUGGGUCUGUUAGCCUAGAGAAACACUACCCUACAUAUUCUGACCCAGCCACUUUCUUUUCCUAGAUUUCCUCAGUAAUUGAAUCUACUGUUGGCUGUUCUGCUCUCCACUCCCUUGCUCUGCCCACUAACCACUGGCUUCCCUGCUUUUCCAUGCAAGCUCCAGCAUAUGCCCACCCCUGGACCUCUGUCUGCAUUUGCUGUUUGUUUUCUCUGUGGAAUGCUCUUCCAUCAGCCAGCUACUUUUCAUGAGGAUACUCAAGCAUUCCUAUGGAGAGAUCCACAUGGUGAGAAACUGAAGCCUCCUACCAAGAGCCAGCACCAACUUGCCAGCUAUGUGAAUGAGCCAUCUUAGAAGUGGGUUCUCUAGCCCUAGUCAGGCCUUCAUAUGACUGCAGCCAGGGCUGAUAUUUUGACUACAACCUCAUGAGAGACUGAGCCACAACAACCUAGCUAAGAAGCUCCUGAAUUCCCUACCAACAGAAACUAUGUGAGAUAAUGUUUGUUGUUUUAACUAAGUUUUCAAGUGGUAAUUUGUUAUACAGAAUAUGUAACUAAUAAAGCAUGGCUCCUUUAGGUCUAAA